rnacentral:lncRNA from 1 species
AGAGAGACGGCGGCGGCGGAGUCGCAGUGGCACCCGGUCUCCCAAAAAGCCUCGGUCGCCUAAAAGAAAGCUGUCGCGUUCACCGUCCCCUCGGAGGUAAGGAUGUCGGUGCUGGGGCCCCGGGUCUGUGUCGUCGUCGUCGCCCGCCCCCUCCCCCCCCCCCCCAGGUCUUCCCGUGGCUCGGUGCCCUGUGCCCUGUGCCCUGUGCCCUGACCCAGGCUGCGCAGCCGCACUCGCCGGGAACUGAGCAGUGCGUAGAGCGCGUUGGUUUGAGGCUGUGUGUGUCCCUGUCCCCCUAGACAUAAAAAGGAGAAGAAGAAAGAUAAAGACAAAGAGAGAAGCAGAGAUGAACGGGAACGAUCAACAAGCAAGAAGAAGAAAAGUAAAGACAAGGAGAAGGACCGGGAACGAAAGUCGGAGAGCGACAAAGACGUCAAACAGGUCACACGGGAUUACGACGAAGAGGAGCAGGGCUACGACAGCGAGAAGGAGAAGAAGGAGGAGAAGAAGGCAGCCGAACCGAGUUCCCCUAAGACGAAGGAGUGCUCGGUGGAGAAGGGGCCGGGCGACGCCCUCCGGGAAUCCAAAGUGAAUGGGGAUGACCAUCACGAGGAGGACAUGGACAUGAGUGACUGAGCCCGGCCCGCGGCGCCCGCCUGUAAACAUGCAUCAGUGUCAUUCCUCGUGCGACCUCAACGCUGUAUUUGUUCAUCUCCGACCUAGGUGUGCACAGCUCUGAGUUACAAAUGGUUAUAAAGCUCCUGAUAGUGAUAUUAGUCAUUUACACCCCAAAGCUUCUAGAAAACGAUACACGAGUAACCAGUUGUUGACGUGGUGAGAUCUGAUCGAGUAACCAAGCAGCUGUACCAUCCUGGUGCUGCUUCACAACACAACGAAAAGCUGCAUGCGUCUCCAGCAGGCAUGGAUUGUUUCUGUUGUAUGAUCCUCUUUAUUAAGUCAGUUCACUUAUAGUAUUUCUAGAAUUUGAUUCAUUGCCGUAUAGAGCCCUGUAGGGAAUGCACUGAUUGCAUGUUAAUUGUGGCAGGAAUAUCCUAAAUGUCAUUAAAAUCCUCCAACAUGAUGGAUCUCCUUACGGUCUUGUUUGUUGACAUGACAAAUUAACAUUCUUCUAGUUACAUCUGAAAAUGAACAUUUGAAAUAGAUAAUCCUUUAAGCCUCGUGGCUGAAUUUUCGUGGCUUUUGUUUAACUCUGAAAGGUUAUAUAUAUGCACUAACCUUUUUUUGAUGGCUGAUUAGGCUUUAAUUACGAAACCAGGUUUCAGAGGAAGCGGUCUCCGGCAGUGGGUCAGUAGCAUAUUUUGAAGUAGAGUUGUAUACUUUUUCAUAAGGUGUUUGGGAAUUUGUUUUCCUGAAAUAAUUUAUUCCACGUCGUGACAUCAGUGAACGCGUCUGCCUAUCCUGAGUCCAUCUGCAAAAGGAAGUUCUCUCUCGUCCCGAUUGUCAGUUUUCCAGUCUUUUAUUAAUUUGUUUUAAUCUCCGUGUUGGAAAAAAGGGGUAGUGCAUUUUAAAUUGACCUUCAUAUGCUUUUAAAAUAAGACAAAUCUACUUGAUAAUGUACUUUUUAUUUGAUCUCGAGUUGUAUAAAACCAAUAAAUUUGUGUUACUGUUACUGCA